GAUGAACGCUCGCGGCAGGCCUAACACAUGCAAGUCGAGGGAGAGGUUACCUUCGGGUCACCAAAACCGGCGCACGGGUGCGUAACGCGUAUACAAUCUGCCUUUCACAUAGGGAUAGCCCGAAGAAAUUUGGAUUAAUACCUAAUGGUAUAUAAGAGCGGCAUCGUUUUUAUCUUAAAGCUACGGUGGUGAAAGAUGAGUAUGCGUUCUAUCAGCUAGUUGGAGAGGUAACGGCUCCCCAAGGCGACGAUAGAUAGGGGUUCUGAGAGGGAUGUCCCCCACACUUGUACUGAGAUACAGACCAGACUCCUACGGGAGGCAGCAGUGAGGAAUAUUGGACAAUGGUCGGAAGACUGAUCCAGCCAUGCCGCGUGCAGGAGGAAGGUCCUAGGGAUUGUAAACUGCUUUUGUAAGGGAAGAAUAAGGAGUACGUGUACUUUGAUGACGGUACCUUACGAAUAAGCAUCGGCUAACUCCGUG
rnacentral:rRNA from 1 species